rnacentral:rRNA from 1 species
GUCUUUUUGUUUAAAUAUGAAGUCUCGCCUGCCCACUGAAAGUUUUAAAUGGCCGCGGUAUUUUGACCGUGCUAAGGUAGCAUAAUCAUUAGUUUUUUAAUUGAAAGCUAGAAUGAAGGGUUGGAUGAAAAAAUAACUGUCUCUAUUUAAUUUAUUUGAAUUUUAUUUUUAAGUAAAAAAGCUUAAAUUUUAUUGAAAGACGAGAAGACCCUAUAGAGUUUUAUUUGUUUAAAUUUUAAUUAUUUUUAGUAUUAAAAUUAUUUAGUUUUAAACAAAUUUAAUUGGGGUGAUUAAAAAAUUUAAUUAACUUUUUUUUUAUACUUAUAUUAAUUAAUAAUUAAUUGAUCCAAUAAUUUUGAUUAUAAGAUUAAAUUACCUUAGGGAUAACAGCGUAAUUUUAUUGGAGAGUUCAAAUUGAUAAUAAAGAUUGCGACCUCGAUGUUGGAUUAAAAUUUAUAAUUGGUGCAGAAGCUAUAUUAUUAAGUCUGUUCGACU